AUAUGAGCGUUGAACAGGGUUAGUAUAUGUUGGAGACGGCACAGAGAGGGAAUCAUUUGCUGGGAGAUUUCUGCGGAGAUAAUAUAGAACCUGCCUGGGAGCUUCUGUAUAAAAGUACAGCGUAAGUCAGCGUUAAUGACAGAUAAAGAGAAUCACAACAGUGGUUAAUUAGGGUGGUACCGCCGAGAACUUCGGUCCCUUUU
rnacentral:ncRNA from 1 species